rnacentral:rRNA from 1 species
CCAGACUCCUACGGGAGGCAGCAGUGGGGAAUAUUGCACAAUGGGGGAAACCCUGAUGCAGCGACGCCGCGUGAGCGAUGAAGUAUUUCGGUAUGUAAAGCUCUAUCAGCAGGGAAGAAAAUGACGGUACCUGACUAAGAAGCCCCGGCUAACUACGUGCCAGCAGCCGCGGUAAUACGUAGGUGGCAAGCGUUAUCCGGAUUUAUUGGGUGUAAAGGGCGUGUAGGCGGGAAUGCAAGUCAGAUGUGAAAACUAUGGGCUCAACCCAUAGCCUGCAUUUGAAACUGUCAGGCUGGAGUGCAGGAGAGGUAAGUGGAAUUCCUAGUGUAGCGGUGAAAUGCGUAGAUAUUAGGAGGAACACCAGUGGCGAAGGCGGCUUACUGGACUGUAACUGACGUUGAGGCUCGAAAGCGUGGGGAGCAAACAGGAUUAGAUACCCGAGUA